rnacentral:rRNA from 1 species
UCUCCAGACUCCUACGGGAGGCAGCAGUGAGGAAUAUUGGUCAAUGGGCUUACGCCUGAACCAGCCAAGUCGCGUGAGGGAAGACUGCCCUAUGGGUUGUAAACCUCUUUUGUCAGGGAGCAAUUGGCGCUACGUGUAGCGUUAUCGAGAGUACCUGAAGAAAAAGCAUCGGCUAACUCCGUGCCAGCAGCCGCGGUAAUACGGAGGAUGCGAGCGUUAUCCGGAUUUAUUGGGUUUAAAGGGUGCGUAGGCGGAAUGCCAAGUCAGCGGUAAAAGCGCGGGGCUCAACCUCGCUCCGCCGUUGAAACUGGGGGCCUUGAGUGGGCGAGAAGAAGGCGGAAUGCGUGGUGUAGCGGUGAAAUGCAUAGAUAUCACGCAGAACCCCGAUUGCGAAGGCAGCCUUCCGGCGCCCUACUGACGCUGAAGCACGAAAGCGUGGGUAUCGAACAGGAUUAGAUACCCCCGUAAA